UUGCGACACACACAUCACUGUGAACAAAAUAGAGUGUUCAUGGCAGGUCAAUUUAGGCUUGAAUACCUCAGCAUGGAAUAAUAGAAUAGGACUUCCGGUUCUAUUUUGUUGGUUUUUGGAGCCGAAGUAAUGAUUAAUAGGGAUAGUUGGGGGCACUCGUACUCCGUUGUCAGGGGUGAAAUUCUAGGAUUGACGGAAGACGAACAACUGCGAAAGCAUCUGCCAAGGAUGUUUUCAUUGAUCAAGAACGAAAGU
rnacentral:rRNA from 1 species